rnacentral:rRNA from 1 species
GACGAACGCUGGCGGCGUGCCUAAUACAUGCAAGUUGAGCGAUGAAGAUUGGUGCUUGCACCAAUUUGAAGAGCAGCGAACGGGUGAGUAACGCGUGGGGAAUCUGCCUUUGAGCGGGGGACAACAUUUGGAAACGAAUGCUAAUACCGCAUAACAACUUUAAACAUAAGUUUUAAGUUUGAAAGAUGCAAUUGCAUCACUCAAAGAUGAUCCCGCGUUGUAUUAGCUAGUUGGUGAGGUAAAGGCUCACCAAGGCGAUGAUACAUAGCCGACCUGAGAGGGUGAUCGGCCACAUUGGGACUGAGACACGGCCCAAACUCCUACGGGAGGCAGCAGUAGGGAAUCUUCGGCAAUGGACGAAUGUCUGACCGAGCAACGCCGCGUGAGUGAAGAAGGUUUUCGGAUCGUAAAACUCUGUUGGUAGAGAAGAACGUUGGUGAGAGUGGAAAGCUCAUCAAGUGACGGUAACUACCCAGAAAGGGACGGCUAACUACGUG